rnacentral:tRNA from 1 species
GCCAGCGUAGCUCAGUUGGUAGAGCAACUGAUUUGUAAUCAGUGGGUCGGGGGUUCAACUCCCUUCGCUGGCUCCA